rnacentral:rRNA from 1 species
AACGAACGCUGGCGGCAGGCUUAACACAUGCAAGUCGAGCGCCCCGCAAGGGGAGCGGCAGACGGGUGAGUAACGCGUGGGAAUCUACCCAUCUCUACGGAAUAACGCAUGGAAACGUGUGCUAACACCGUAUACGUCCUUCGGGAGAAAGAUUUAUCGGAGAUGGAUGAGCCCGCGUUGGAUUAGCUAGUUAGUGGGGUAAAGGCCUACCAAGGCGACGAUCCAUAGCUGGUCUGAGAGGAUGAUCAGCCACACUGGGACUGAGACACGGCCCAGACUCCUACGGGAGGCAGCAGUGGGGAAUAUUGGACAAUGGGCGCAAGCCUGAUCCAGCCAUGCCGCGUGAGUGAUGAAGGCCCUAGGGUUGUAAAGCUCUUUCACCGGUGAAGAUAAUGACGGUAACCGGAGAAGAAGCCCCGGCUAACUUCGUGCCAGCAGCCGCCGUAAGAC